rnacentral:tRNA from 1 species
GGAUGUGGUCCUGAAUGCUAAAGGGCUUGCUGGCAAGCAAAAGGUCCUGGGUUCAAUCCCCAGUACCACCA